GACGAACGCUGGCGGCGUGCUUAACACAUGCAAGUCGAACGGGCCUGUCUUCUUUUUUGGGGGUGGGUUGAGUGGCGAACGGGCGAGUAUCACGUGAGUAACCUGCCCUUCGGUCCUGGAUAACCGCUUGAAAGGGCGGCUAAUACGGGGUGGUCCGGUUGGUCCGCAUGGGCUGGUCGGGAUAGAUUCACUGUUUUUGGUGUUUCGGCGGGGGAUGGGCUCGCGGCCUAUCAGCUUGUUGGUGGGGUGAUGGCCUACCAAGGCGGUGACGGGUAGCCGGCCGGAGAGGGUGGGCGGCCACACUGGGACUGAGAUACGGCCCAGACUCCUGCGGGAGGCAGCAGUGGGGGGUAUUGCACAAUGGGCGGAAGCCUGAUGCAGCGACGUCGCGUGAGGGAUGGAGGCCUUCGGGUUGUGAACCUCUGUUUCCGGUGGUGAAGGCCCUGUCCGUGUGGUGGGGUUGACGGUAGCCGGGGAUGAAGCGCCGGCUAACUACGUG
rnacentral:rRNA from 1 species